UGUUUGUAGAGACAGGGUCUCACUAUGUUGCCCAGGCUGGUCUGGAACUCCUGGCCUCAAGGGGUCGUCCCAACUCGCCCCUGCCGGGAUUGCGGGCAUGAGCCACCACACCGGCCUGCUUUUGUAUUCUUGUAUGUAACUCUUCACUGCAGCUGGAGUGUGUCUGGGCUUGUGGAGAGAAAAGAGGAGCUCGCUGCCAGGGAGGCACAGAAUGCUGGGCUGUUUGGUACCCCUUCUAACUCCUGACCGCUUCUUGGAAUCCCAGGGCUUUCUGAGCAGGGCCCUGAAACAUGCUUUCUUGUAGGAAACUAGGGCAGAGGGCCAAUUUGACGAACUGACUUUAAAAAAUUGUUGAUUCAAGAGUAGCAACUUGGCUGGGUGUAGCGGCUUAUGCCUGUAAUCCCAGCACUUUGGGAGGCCGAGGCUGGUGGAUCACUUGAGCUCAGGAGUUCAAGACCAGCCUGGCCAACAUGAUGAAACCCCAUCUCUAAUAAAAAUACAAAAAUUGGCGGGGUGUGGUGGCACACACCUGUAGUCCCAGCUACUUGGGAGGCUGAGGCAGGAGAAUCACUUGAUCCCAGGAGGCUAAGGUUACAGUGAGCCAAGAUCACACCACUGCACUCCAGCUGGGAUGACAAGGUUACUGAGACUCCAUCUAAAAAAAGAAAAAAAAAAGUAGCUACUAAUCACAAAAGGACAAAAACUUUAUUAUUCCACUUAUAGGAAGUACUUUCCAUACUCAAGUUCAUAGAGGCAGAAGUAGAAUUAUGGUUCCCAGGGGCUGGGGGCGGGGCAACGGCAAGCUGUUGUUUAAUGAGGACCGAGCUUCCUUUUGGGAUGAUGAAAAAGUUCUGGACACAAAUGUUGGAUGGUUGCAUGACAAUGUGAAUGUACCUAAUGCCACUGAAUUGUACACUUAAAGAUGGCUAAAGUAGUAAAUCUUGUGUUUUGUAUACUUUACCACAAAUAAAAGAGCAUAGCCUAGAGGUGGAAGAGUUCAAGGAGGCUUCAG
rnacentral:lncRNA from 10 species